GUGGCGGCCAUCCACCCCGCCGAGGCCGCUGAUGCCGCCGUGUCCGUCAUCCAACGAGCCCUCGAGAUGGAUAAAAUCACCCCGAGCCCAAGGACAAACCCUAGCGCCCACUUUCCCCUCUCCCUCGCUCGCUCUCUUCUCCCCAACGCGAACCCGACGCCAUCAUUGCCACGGCCGACCUUGCCGGCGUGCUCCUCGUCGUCCUCGCCGGCAAGGAGCUUGUCCAAAAGCUCCGUCUGCCUCUGCUGCUUCCACUACGAGGAUCGGUGCGAGCCAGGCGCCUCUACAUCGCGGGAAUCGAGCCCAUCUUCAACCUCUGUUAGCCACCGUUCGACGCGUCGAUCCGCGCAUCUCCGACAGCCCCCGGCCUCGCCGAGCCCUUCCCAAGCUCCGCUGAGAGAGAGAAGAUAAGACGGAGAGAGAGAAGGAGGAGAGGAGGGAGAGGAAAGGAGGUGCGGUGGCAGGGAAAUCGUCGUCGGAUGCGUCCUAUAUGUGAUGGGUGUGUUCCCAUCAAGUCGAUGGUGGGGUUGAUGUGCCCGUCGAUUCGGUGAUCCGCUGGCUGAGCUCGUCUUCUCAGUGGCGGACUUGUGUUCUAUGGUAGUCGGAGCCAUUGUAUGUGGGUAUGCAGUUGCUGAUGUACAGGAGGCAUCCGUGGUGCCAGUUCUUCAUCGUCCAUGCUUAUCUUCUAUAUGCUCUAGCAGCCAGCAGGAUUUAAUUGAUGGAGUCCUGCUGCUAAAGGACUGCUAAAGGACGUGAACAGGAAGUCCUAUCGCUGGAUGUUUAUUGUCCGAAUUGCAAGGAUCUGGGAAUACAUGAGUACAGACCCUAUCGAAUUCUAUAGCUCUAUUCAUUGGCACACCAGUUGAUCAAUUUUGAGGUAAUAAAGCGAAGUUGUUAUCUGGAAAAUACUUACCUACUUAAAGAAGGUCAAAAUAGAGAAAUCCUUGGCAUAAUUUUUAUGUAUACAAUAUACUAGCUUUCAUAUCUACUUUGGACACCAGAUGGCACAUCAACAUUAUGUACCUGAAGCGAUCGCUACAGAAGGAAGGUACCAAACAAGAUUAACUGUUUCUAUGCUUCUCAAAAUACUUUAGUAUAUGCCCAUAAUAUCACAGUAUGAAUUGCUGUGUGGGAAGUUUGCUUUUCCUACCAUCACGGAAUAAUAAUUCAUUUUUUAGUUUGAUAUAUUCCGCGCCCAAUUAACUAUUUGUAUUUGCCAGAGAAUGCAGAAAAAAAUACUAACCUGCUUGUGUUCCCGAGAGAGUGUAUUUUCUCCAUACCUCAACAUUCUUGAUACAUAUGGUCAUCUCUGUUCUGGACAACACACUUGACGACCUCUCUUCAUGGCACAAAACUGAAACUGUGCCAUUAAUAUAUUUUCCUUGCAUGCUUGUCUAAAUAAAGGGUGCAAUACACAUGGCAUAGUCGCAUAGAUAUACAAAUCCCUUAUUCCUGUGAGCAAGACUGAAGCUUGCUACUUGUUAAGACCAGUCAUAAACAUUUCUGUGAUUGUAGCUGAUUCCCGUCAGUGAAACUUUGCCAUGACCAUUGUUUAUUCAGUGAAAUAGCUGAUUCCAAUCAUCCAUCAACUAGAUUUGUGAUAAUCACAACAACAAGCUUAUAUCUUACAAAUCGCCUGAUUGGUGAUUAUCCAUUUUAUAUGAUGUUUUUCAUUUGCAAGCGCUGAGUUUUUUCCUUUCAAGUUUCUCUCUCUUACUCUAUUUC